rnacentral:lncRNA from 1 species
GUACAUUAGGAAAAUCUGCAAAUAAAAUGUUACUGGGAAUAGAGAUAGCUUCAAAAAUAAUUAUUUGGUAUAACUGGCUGCCACCUGCACAAAUGACACAUUGAAAAUUGAAGGGGAGUUGGAUAGAAUUGCCAUAUGUGGCAGUGACAAAAGUAAGAUCCUCUAACUAAUGUGAAAGUAGCAUGAAGUCCUAAAAUAUUUCAGAAUUUUUUCGUGUAUUUGUAACAUUUCUGCAUUUCUAUCAUUUCUAUCUGCUCAGUUAUCAUCAGAGUUUAUACAAAUGUUUUUUCACAGCUUCAAAGGAGCCUUUCAGAAAGCAUUGACUACAUCUAACCAGAUGAAGGGAGAAGUGAGAGAACUCUCCACAUUGUUAUGGUUGGUUUCAAUUUUUGGCAACUCAAUCUGA